rnacentral:tRNA from 1 species
GGAGGAUUGGGUGAGUGGUUUAAACCAACGGUUUACUAAACCGUCGUUCCGCAAGGAACCGUGAGUUCGAAUCUCACAUCCUCCG